AUUGAACGCUGGCGGCAGGCCUAACACAUGCAAGUCGAGCGGCAGCGCGGGGCAACCUGGCGGCGAGCGGCGAACGGGUGAGUAAUACAUGGGAAUCUGCCUGGUAGUGGGGGAUAACUCUGGGAAACUAGAGGUAAUACCGCAUACGUCCUACGGGAGAAAGCGGGGGAUCUUCGGACCUCGCGCUAUCAGAGGAGCCCAUGUCCGAUUAGCUAGUUGGUGAGGUAAAGGCUCACCAAGGCGACGAUCGGUAACUGGUCUGAGAGGAUGGUCAGUCACACUGGAACUGAGACACGGUCCAGACUCCUACGGGAGGCAGCAGUGGGGAAUAUUGGACAAUGGGGGCAACCCUGAUCCAGCCAUGCCGCGUGUGUGAAGAAGGCCUUCGGGUUGGUAAAGCACUUUAAGUGGGGAGGAAGGCGUCGCUGAUUAAGUAAUACAGCGGGAGUGACGUUA
rnacentral:rRNA from 1 species